rnacentral:rRNA from 1 species
UUUCUGACCUAUCAGCUUUCGACGGUAUGGUAUUGGCUUACCGUGGCAGUGACGGUUAACGGGGGAUUAGGGUUCGAUUCCGGAGAGGGAGCCUGAGAAACGGCUACCACAUCUAAGGAAGGCAGCAGGCGCGCAAAUUACCCAAUUCUAACAGCAUAAGAGAGGUAGUGACAAGAAAUAACAAUACAAGGUAAUUAAAUUGCUUUGUAAUUGGAAUGAUAGAAAUUUAAACACUUUUUAAAGUAUCAAUUGGAGGGCAAGUCUGGUGCCAGCAGCCGCGGUAAUUCCAGCUCCAAUAGCGUAUAUUAAAAUUGUUGCAGUUAAAAAGCUCGUAGUUGAAUUUCUGUUAAAAAUAACCGGUCUGCUUUUAUUAAAAGUGGUAUCUUGGUGUGUUUUUAGCAAUAAUGUCCUUUGAAAUGUUUUUUACUUUAUUGUAAUAAGUCAUUAUUUUGAGGAUUUUUACUUUGAGAAAAUUAGAGUGUUUCUAGCAGGCUUACGCUUUUGAAUACUGCAGCAUGGAAUAAUAAGAUAGGAUUUUAGUUCUACAUUAUUGGUUUUAAGAACUAAAUUAAUGAUUGAUAGGGAUAGUUGGGGGCAUUUGUAUUUAACUGUCAGAGGUGAAAUUCUUAGAUU